UACGAAGGGGGCUAGCGUUGUUCGGAAUUACUGGGCGUAAAGCGCACGUAGGCGGAUUUGCCAGUCAGGGGUGAAAUCCCGGGGCUCAACCUCGGAACUGCCUCUGAUACAGCAAGUCUUGAGUCCGGAAGAGGUGGGUGGAAUUCCUAGUGUAGAGGUGAAAUUCGUAGAUAUUCGCAAGAACACCAGUGGCGAAGGCGGCUUACUGGUCCGGAUCUGACGCUAAGGCGCGAAAGCGUGGGGAGCAAACAGG
rnacentral:rRNA from 1 species